CCUACGGGCGGCUGCAGUGAGGAAUAUUGGUCAAUGGGCGCGAGCCUGAACCAGCCAAGUCGCGUGAGGGAAGACGGUCCUCUGGUUUGUAAACCUCUUUUGUCGGGGAGCAAGAGACGCCACGCGUGGCGUUCCGAGAGUACCCGAAGCAAAAGCAUCGGCUAACUCCGUGCCAGCAGCCGCGGUAAUACGGCGGAUGCGAGCGUUAUCCGGAUUUGUGGGGUUUAAAGGGUGCGCAGGCGGAAGAUCAAGUCAGCGGUAAAAUUGAGAGGCUCAACCCCGGCGAGCCGUUGAAACUGGCGGGCUGGAGUUGGAGAGAGGGACGCGGAAUGCGCGGUGUAGCGGUGAAAUGCUUAGAGAUCGCGCAGAACCCCGAUUGCGAAGGCAGCGUACCGGCUCCACACUGACGCUGAGGCACGAAAGCGUGGGUAUCGAACAGGAUUAGAUACCCCUGGAGUC
rnacentral:rRNA from 1 species